UACAAAGCAUGUAGACAAUAUAUUUAUAAGUGUCAUUUAUAAAGCCGUCAUACAAAAAAAGUGUUCACAUUGAUCCGAUGGGAAAUAUUCAAAGUGUGUUUCACGUGGAUGAUUAAUUCACAACCCAUAUAUAUGGAUAGGGGCACAAAGCAAUAGUCGAAUUUUGAUUUGUUUCGUAAGAUAUGGAUAUUUAAUUUUUCUUAAUUGUUUUGCUUCGAAAAAAUACAAAUAUCCAAAUUGGAUAUUUAAAAAUAAAUAGAUAUUUUUAGAUAUUUACGAAUAUUUAUAGAUAUCUUGUUUUUUUUGAUGAAUACAAAUUCAAUACACAUUUGUUUCUUAAAAAUAUAUUUUGUUUGUAAAUUUUAAAUUUAGUUACUAGCUAUAAUAAAACAAAAGUUAUAAGUGUCAUACAAUGACUGGAUAUCUAUUUAUAGUGUUUGUGAUUUGCUUCGAUGUUAAUAGAUUGAUUUUUAGUAUUUUAUUUGUUCAAAAAUUUAUAAAUAUCUAGAUUUUUUGGAUCGAAUUGAAACGAAUAACAAAUUAAAUUAAAUUUAAUAGAUAGAAUGUCCAGGGAUAAAUAUGGAGGGACAUAGUCGUUGAUGUGACCUUAAAUUUUGAAAAAUUGGCCUUUCAACAUGUACACAAUUUUUUUAGAACUCCUGUUUCUCGGUUGUUCGAUGACAAAAAUGGUCGUGUUGAUAUAAAUUAUAAUUUGAACAUUGCAUUGCAUUGCAUUGCAUUGCAUUGCAUUGCUUAAGUCUAGGGUCUAAUGUAAUUUAAUAAUUUAAUACAAGCAACUCCGAAACUGGAUGCAUUAUACAAUACACAGCAGAAGAGGAAAGAUGUUAUAAUAAGAAGUAGGAUAAUGACGUGACUUGACUUAUGCAUAUGACUGGAGAAAUCAAAGACAAAAUAAAUUCCGGAAGUGAAGGGCCAUCACACAAAAGUGAAAAGCCUGCCGUUUAGCCGACAAAUCCAAAAAACAAACUUUCAUCGGUGACCAGAAAUCUAGUAGACUGGUCUUUUUAAUAUCUGUAAUUUUAAAACAUUUACAAAAAUUUGAACCUUUUCUUAGUUUUUAGUCGAUUUAUUUAGAAAAAAGUAUGAAUUUUAUUUCUACAAGAUUAAUGAAUAUAUUACGAAUUGUACCUUUCAAGCUACAACUAUUCAGUAACUUUUACUCUUUUAGUUUCCAUUUUCAGAAGGAAUAAAAGGCAGCAGAUUAGUAAACAUUGGAUUCUCAAGAAACAAAUAAUUUUAAGCACGUAAAUGGGCAAAAAUACAGAAAGCCCAGAUGGUAUGAAUUUGAAUUCUAGCCUUAGUUUAUUGAAAAAUUUACACUGUGGGACACAUUUCCACUUUCGAUUUACAUCUUGGGACACUUGUUGUUGGUCACACACAUUGUCUAUGUUUUUUGUCAGUUAUACCCCUAACUAAGUUUUGAUUCACUUCUGACUCUUUUCUAACUAAAACAAUCCGUUCAAAUAUACAGUCCAAUAAAAUAAAAAAACUGAACUUUCAUCAGCCCAAACAAAUAAAAAAAUACAAAUCUCGUUUAUCUUAUUAUCUCUCCUGUUUCGAGACAAUUUUUCAAAAUCACUUUCCCAAUUUUAUGAACCCUAAUUUCGACGAUUGUGUGGGUUCCUCUCAAAUCAACUCAAUAUUAGAGUUUUGUAGACUCGUUAUAUCAUACGGCGAGAAACAAGCUAUGUUCUCAUCACAAGACAAUCAGCUGCAUCACUAGAGCUUUUCCGGAUGAUGGAGCCAUAGAAGCAUCUUCUUCUCUCUCUACUUCUAGUUCUUGGCAAUGACAAGUAAUGGUAUCAAAAGCAUAUGUCGUGGCUUAGAGAAGAGCCGACGAGGACCCUCAACGCCAUGUUCGUUUUUGACGAUUGAUCUUCCUCUCCCACUGCUGGUUUAUCUCACCGCCUCCGUGAGAGAUUAUGUCGCUUUCUCUUCUUUCAAUUGAUGUCCUCUCGAUUGGUCUCUCCUACGCAAUUGUAGUAGAUCUGGGAGUUCGUCGUUCCGUGUCGUUGGUUUCUCCUCCGGUGCGUGGUGGUCUCCGGUUCCUCUGCUCUCCUCUUGCUCAAGAACGGUGUCUAAGUUCAGGUCUUGGGUCUCCGGGUCGGAUGUACACUGGCCAUGUUCCGGCUCACCGGAUAUAGUCUUGCUUGGGAGGCUCCUUACUUCUCUGUCCACCGUUGUUGUCUGAAGUCUGCGUUGAUGCUAUAAAUACGGAUGGCUUCCAAGAAAAACUGAUUCUUUUGAGAAGAUUGAGAAGGUAAGAAAAGAAUAUGUUUCUGGUUUUGUUCUUUGGCAUGAUGUUUGGGUGAUUAAAGUCCAUUGAUUUGUGUGUACAUUGAACCAGGAACCUAUUUGUUGUUUGAAAAAUAAAAAUUUGUCUUUAUUUUGAUAA